rnacentral:lncRNA from 1 species
GGGGUAUGGCUUUAAGCUAAAAGAGGGGAGAUUUAGGUCAGACGUUAGGAAGAUUUUUUUUUUCUCAGAGGUUGUGGAUGGUGCAUCCCUGGAGGCAUUCUAGACCAGGUAGGAUGGGAUCCUGAGCAGCCUCAUCUGGUGGUUGGCAACCCUGCUCAUGGCAGGGGGGUAGAACUAGAUGAUCUUUGAGGUCUCCUCCAACCUAAGCCAUUCUAUGAUUCUAUAAAUCAAAACAUACUUGAUGGGAGUGAAUAGCGUUCUAGUGUGUAAAUAUGUCCUUCCCGGUGACACCAUCCAGAAUAUUUAUUCUUUGGCUCUGUUGUGAAAGCAAGAGCUUUCAAUGGAUUGUGUGGGAUGGCAUUCACUUCCCAAAUGUUUAGAGAAAGGGUAGUUUUGUGGCUGAAAUAUAGGAUGCUCUGGGGCCUAUUCUAGACCCAAGAUCACCUUUAUGAGGGCUGGAAAUUUUCAAGAGCACUCAGCUCUCCUCCAGCCCUUCUAUAAAUGAAAUUCUUCCAGUGAAGGAACAUCACUGUCUGUUUCUACUUUCCAGCUUUAAAAUGAAUCUGACACUUCUGACCUGCCCCACAACCAUGUGUCUCUCCUGCUGAGUCUCCUUACAAAUCAGCAUCUUCAAAAAGCCUAGAGUAGGAACACCCCUGUCAUCCAACACCUAUCUCUAAGCAGCAGUCAGGAGCAGAAGAGAUGAAAAUACCUUCUUGGGGCUCUCCAGCAGGAUCUCCAGUUCUGCAGGUGCACCUCUGAACUCAUUUACCAAAGUACGCCAAGCCCAUCCUGUGCCAGCAAAACCUCUGUUAAAGAUUUGGCAACAAGAUGUCCAGAUCUGCUGCGGCCACCAACACCACCGUGGUGGAUGUGCUGGAGAAGGCCUUGAGAAAGGGCAGCUCGUUUUCUCGGCCAUCCAUGUCUUUGCGCAUCAUAUAUCACGCCUAUGUGUCCAGAGGAAAGAAAGAUCCCCUCCAACCCAGCAGCCCUGUAACGGAUGGACCUUCCCGAUUUGCAGCUAGCUGACAGCUUGUGAGAACAACAGCUUGAAUUACUGAAAGAACUUUUCCCACUGAGUUAAUCUGCAAUGGAUGUAGGUGACCUUCUAAAGGCAUCUAUUAAUCAAAAAACCCGUGCCCAUUCACUGCGCUAGGCUGAGCCCUUUGGGGGAAGGGGGGGUACUAAUUUCCCUCUGAGAUAAAUCAUAAUUUGACAAUAAUCAUCUGCCCUAAUCACUCCGAUUCUUCCCUUUAAUUAUUUGUACACACAGCUCUUCCUGCCUGGGAAACACAAAGGAUGACAUUAAACGUGGCCAGGGAGGGGUGGGCAGCGGGGCUGCGAGGCUGUCACCCAGCACUGUCCGCCAUGGGGCCAGCAUGGUGACACCCCACAGUGACACCCCACGGUGACACCCCACUGUGACACCCCCAGCCCUAAAUCUGUGUCUGUGGACAGAUAUACGCAGUGUGUAGUCGACAAGGAGCAAGGACAGUGAUGGCAGCUGGGCUCCGAGCGCAGCAGCAUCACUGCAGAGAUGUGCCUUGGUCUCUGCACGGUGCAGUCUGGGAGGCAGGUCUUUCAGGAUGUACACAUCAGCCCCCCCAAUACGAGCAAAAUCGGGGACAGCCCCCACAAGCUUCCUCAGAGCAGCUGGGCUGAUGUACAGUAAUUCCCACAGCCCAGGUCAGUAGGAUGUCUCACAAGCUAUAACACGGACCUACAGCACCAUAUGCUGGCCUAGUUUAGCAUCUACACAGCAGUGCAGCCUGCCUGGCUGCAUCGCUGCUCCCAGAGCACAGCAGAGCAGAGCUGGCCACCUGGCCCGCAGAGCAGAGCAGGCACUUGGGGACCUGCAGGGCUGCUGGUGCAGCUGGGAGAGGCAGCUCUGCUGCUGUGUGCGUGGGGACCGGCCAGCAGCAUGCCGGGACAGGCCGUCGGUGGGAGUGGGGCACACAGGUAGGACACGCUGGGCCCAGCCAUGUGAAGCCACUCUGUGGUUCAAGCAGUGCCUGCAGUGAAAGAGACG